AUCUGAAAAGGAAGCCCAAGGGCUCACAGUAGCUGCUACCAGUUCUCACAGAGCAAYGUGUGAUAUGCAUCUGCACGAGACUGGGCAGUCAGAGGAGACCAAAGAGCUUGGAGCACAGGAAACAAGUGCAGGAUCAUGUGGCCUUCUCCUCAACCUGUUCUUGCAGCCUGCUAGAGGAUGCUGUCCUAAACCAGCCUCUAUAAGGGUCUAAGAGAAGAGAAAGCCAAAGGAACAGUAGCUGCUUCUAGCCAAAUGGACAGUCUCACCACCAGGACACAAUUGCAUUUCUCGUCUUUCAAGAUCAGCUUGCAGAAGACAUGGUAGAGUUUUGCAUAUAAACUUUUAAAGAGUCAUGGUUCUGCUGUGCUUGCACAGCCUCUUCUGACUUGAAGUUUAUUUGGUUACUAUCAAAGGUAGUAUUCUAGGAACAUUGCACUGUAGUGUUUGUUUUGCAUAUAUAAUACAUAGAAUGCAUUCUCUAAUAGAUUUUUUUAAUAUAUGUAGAAUUAUGCCUAUAGAUAAUUACAAUAUCUUUGUGUGUUUGUUAAAGGUGAUUAUCAAUUACUUUAAGCACAUAUGGAUAGUUUUCUAAAACAGAAUGAGAUUUUCCAGCUGAUAAGAGGGAUAUUUAUAUUUGCAUGCUUUCCUUGUAUAUUGUAAUACCUUUCAGUAAUAUUCUUAAAGCUAAAGUAGAUAUUACAACAAAGCUUAAAAAAGACACCGUAAAUGUUUUUCUCAUUUGCGUGAACCAAGAUGUAUGUACUAAGCUCUUCAGGUUUCUAACUCUACUAAACUGUAGUUCUCUGAGAACCAAAUCCUUCAAGUUCCCUUGAAAAUUUGUCCUUAAAACUUUGAAUGAGUUUUUUUUUU